rnacentral:lncRNA from 1 species
AUGGAGCCGUAUAAGCCGGACCCCGAAUUCCAGCGGAUCUACCACCGGUUGCUGCGUCCGUUGUCGCUCUUCCCCAGCAGGACGACACGCACAGCGUCUCAGGAGCACCUCUCGCAGGAGGUCCCGAUGCUACUGCCUUUACCGGUUCCACGGCUGACGGCGGAGUUGGUCUGCCGCCAGGUAGCCGAGCGGCUGACCAAAAGCGGGCUGGAGGCGCGGGCGCCUCACAAGGUACGGCUCCGUUUCACCGAGGUCAUCCUGGACGAGAUAAAGUGCAGCUGGCAGGAGCCCCCCCCCGAACUUGGCAUGAGUCACCUGAACAAUCAGAGGCUACGGAAGCGGCUCCUGAUCUACGUGCUGCUCAGCUGCGAGCAGCUCUUCGUACGCUACCUGCACCUCCAGAAGCUCAUGUCGACCUCCGCAGUCGUCUUCACUGAAUCAGCAACGCUUACCCGCUUGGCCGCCAGCCUCGCCAGGGACUGCACAGUUUUCCUCACCGGCCCCGACGUCUACCGUAGCCUGCUCUCUGACUUCCUUGCCCUGCUCAAAGAAGAGCAGGCCCAAGUCUCCACGCCCAGACUGCGCGCCGCUGGCCUUGGGGCUUACAGGCUCUUCCAGGUCCCAUGGCAUCACAUCACUGGCGUCACCCAAGUGCCGCAUUUCAACCUCAGCCUGAACUACCUCAUCCAACUCAGCCGCCCGCGAGACCUUGUCAGUGAGCCUGAAAAGGAUCCAAUGAAGGAAUUGAAGUCCAUUCCCCAGCUGAAGAAGAAGAAGCCUCUGCGCUGGCUGUCCUCCAUGCAAAAGAGGAGAGAAAGCACCUUCAGUUCACAGAUUGCAUCACCGCCUGGGACCUUUGUGGCUCCCCGCAGACGGGCUCCCCCCACCUCACACUUGCCCCUCUACUCCCAGCUCCAGAGGGGCCAGUCCAUGCCCUCUCUGCGUGAGGGUUGGAGGCUAGCAGAUGAGCUGGGCCUUCCUCCACUCAGUCCUCGCCCCUUAACUCCAUUGGUCCUGGUGGCAGAGAGCAAACCAGAGCUGGCAGGGGACACGGUGGCUGAGGACCUGAAGCAGAUGAUGAAGAAUAUGCAGCUGGGGUGGUCUCAGUACUCACCGCUGGACUCAGGGCUGCCCCCACUCCUGGGGGCCCUGACCUACCGCCCAGCUGCUAGCCAUCACCUAGAAGAGCUGCAGAGAAUGUUGAACAGCCUUGAGGAGCAAGAGGCCUCGGAACAUCGGGGCCUCCAGUCCCCUAAACCCCCUCAGCUUGAACCACAGCCAGUGACUGUUACUUUGAAGCUAAGAAAUCAGAUGGUCCAGAUAGCUGCUGUACAGGUCUCAGGAAGAAACUUUUUGGAUUCCUUCCACAUUGAGGGGGCCGGUGUGCUAUACAACCACCUUGCUGGUGAACUGGAACCCAAACUUAUCGAGCAAAUGGAUAUGGAUCGCACUUUUGGCAGUAGCAUCAGGGAAGUCUACAAGGAGCUGAUGAGCCGUGUCUCUAACAACCACUUCACUUUUGACCAGGGGCCCCUGGUUGAGCCUGCAGCCAAUAAAGACUGGUCAGCCUUCCUGUCCUCAGCCUUCCUACGUCAAGAAAAACAGCAUCGUAUCAUCAACACCAAGCUGGCUGAACUUUAUCCCCAGAAAGCAAGUGCUUUACAGUCCAAUGCAGAUAAGAUGUCCUCCUUCACAUCACUCCAACCAAGUAAAAGCUGGGAAAGGUGGUCAAACAAGGCCAGAUGGCUGAACUGGUGGAAAAGCACUUUGUCUGUGGGUGACUAUUUUAAGUACCUCACCACCCAGGAGACAGAUUUCCUCCAUGUCAUCUUCCAAAUGUAUGAAGAGGAGGGUCCUGUGGAGACCGUGGCCCCUAUCAAAGAAUCCAUAAAAAUCCAACACCCACCCCCCUUGCUAGAAGACGACGAGCCAGAUUUUGUGCCAGGAGAGUGGGACUGGGACACGGUGCUGGAACACAGGCUAGAAACUAAGAGCAGCCUCCUGGAAGAGUCUCACAAAAUCCUGAGCCUGCAGAAGCGUCUGGAGCGGGUUUGGUCCAUGCUUGACGUUCCAGAGAAGGACCGGCUGGACAUGGCCAUCAAAUACAGCUCCAAUGCCCGCCUGAGGCAGCUGCCGGCACUGGUGAGUGCCUGGGAAAGGACCUUGCAGCCCAUCCAGCUGCGGGAGAUACUGCUGGGGAGACUGGAGUGGUUUGAGCGGCAAGCCUCUGACCCUAACCGCUUCUUCCAAAAGACUGAUGUGGGCCUGAGUCGCUUCCUGGAGGAGAAUCAGAUCCGCAGCCAUUUCCAAAGGAAGCUCCGUAUGGUGGAGGCUCCUUUGGUUCCCCUCCUGGAGGAGAUCGAGUUAGUCUUUGGUGAGCCGGUGACCUUCAAGGGGCGGCGCUACCUGGACAAGAUGAAGCACGACAAAGUGGAGAUGCUCUACUGGCUGCAGCAGCGGCGGCGGGUCCGCCACCUAACCCGGGCCAAAAGGGCCUCCCAUCAGUCGGUCCUGUCCACCAAGCUCAGCGGCCAUCCUUUAAUAGCCCCAGGGAAUACUCCCAUUACUUUUUGA